rnacentral:rRNA from 1 species
UGGGGAAUUUUGGACAAUGGGCGAAAGCCUGAUCCAGCAAUGCCGCGUGUGUGGAGAAGGCCUUCGGGUUGUAAAGCACUUUUGUCCGGAAAGAAAUCCUUGGCUCUAAUACAGUCGGGGGAUGACGGUACCGGAAGAAUAAGCACCGGCUAACUACGUGCCAGCAGCCGCGGUAAUACGUAGGGUGCAAGCGUUAAUCGGAAUUACUGGGCGUAAAGCGUGCGCAGGCGGUUUGCUAAGACCGAUGUGAAAUCCCCGGGCUCAACCUGGGAACUGCAUUGGUGACUGGCAGGCUAGAGUAUGGCAGAGGGGGGUAGAAUUCCACGUGUAGCAGUGAAAUGCGUAGAGAUGUGGAGGAAUACCGAUGGCGAAGGCAGCCCCCUGGGCCAAUACUGACGCUCAUGCACGAAAGCGUGGGGAGCAAACAGGAUUAGAUACCCUGGUAGUCCACGCCCUAAACGAUGUCAACUAGUUGUUGGGGAUUCAUUUCCUAGUAACGUAGCUAACGCGUGAAGUUGACCGCCUGGGGAGUACGUCGCAAGAUUAAAACUUAAAGGAAUUGACGGGGUCAUAGCUGUUUCCU